rnacentral:rRNA from 1 species
UGGGGAAUUUUCCGCAAUGGGCGCAAGCCUGAUGCAGCCAUGCCGCGUGAGUGAAGAAGGCCCUAGGGUUGUAAAACUCUUUCACCGGUGAAGAUAAUGACGGUAGCCGGAGAAGAAGCCCCGGCCAACUCCGUGCCAGCAGCCGCGGUAAUACGGAGGGGGCUAGCGUUGUUCGGAAUUACUGGGCGUAAAGCGCGCGUAGGCGGGGUAUCCAGUUAGGGGUGAAAGCCCGGGGCUCAACCUCGGAACUGCCUUUAAAACUGAUACUCUAGAGUCCGGAAGAGGGUCGCGGAAUUCCCAGUGUAGAGGUGAAAUUCGUAGAUAUUGGGAAGAACACCGGUGGCGAAGGCGGCGACCUGGUCCGGUACUGACGCUGAGGCGCGAAAGCGUGGGGAGCAAACAGGAUUAGAUACCCCUGUAGUCC